UGACAACGCAGGAGUGACAGCUCCAAGGCAGCUGUUUAUUGAGAGUUCUUUCUAGUGCCAGGCACAGUGCUCAGCGUGGCCCCAACCAGCCCAGGAGGCAGCGCGGACUGUGUCCGUCCUUCAGACAAAGGCCCCAGGAUCGGCAAUGUGAGGGUGCAGGGCAGUCGGGCCUCAGCCUGCAUGCUCUGGCUCCGAGGCAUGGCUGGGCCCUUGUCCCUUGACCUCAGGGGCUUGUGCUGGACCCCCAGCCGCUUGGGCCCACCCCCUUGGGUCCUGACCCGGCCUGGAGGAGGCCCUUUGUGGGCUGAGCUUGCACAGCAAGGGUCCCUCCCCUUGGCUGCCGUGACCUUCAGAGAACACACACUGGCCCUUAUCUGGAACACGGGUGGCAAGGGGGCGGGGGUAGGGGGCCUGCAGGUGCCUCUGCCCAGGGCCCCACCCUCUUCAAGGAACCUGCACUGUUCACUGUCGUGUGGGCUGUGCCCCCUUGCAGACGGGCCUGGCUUGGGGUGGAGACGGCCCAGUGUCAGUAUGAUGUCUGUCCAUUGAGGUGCCUGGUCACAGACCUCCUCCAGCGUUGUCCUUGGGCACUGGUGGCCAGUCUCUGGACAGCAGGGAGGUUUGGAGUCUCUGGCUGGGUCAGGCGCUGAACACAGGCUUCUGGGUGGCCCUGGGUCCCAGUCUUGGGUCUUGAUUGAAGGUUAGUGCCCUGGUCAACCUUAGGCUUUCCGGCCUGGUCAUCAAGCCUCAGGGCAAGGUGCUCCCAAGGCCCUGUGGCACUGAGGCUUCAGGACGCGGCAACCAGUCUGGGCCUCCUGGUCUGUUGGUGGCAGGGCUAUCCAGGCAUGGGUGCUGCUCAGCGGCCGGAGCGGUCCAGCAGCAUGAAAAGCAGCCCCAGCAGCAUGAGCGGCAUGAAGAUGAGCAGCAGCCCCAGCAGCUCGAGGGCCAGCAGGCCCAGCAGUGCCAGGCGGCGGGCACAGGGCCCUCGUCCCCGCAGGGCCCAUAGCCGGGCGCCUAGGCAAGGCGGGCAGGGCAGGAAGGGCAGGCAGCCCCGGCCGCCCACACGCCCUGCCAGGAAGCGCAGCUGGUAGCGGUGCUCUAGGGAGGCCGAAGGUGGACUGGCAAGCCCAGAGCUGGGGUCAGCAGGGCCGUAAGUGGGGACCCAAGGGCACAGUUCAGGGGUGGGAGCCCGGAAGCAGGAGUCAGGAUGGGUGGGCUGGGACCCCAGGGUGGCGACGGGGUGGCUGAGGCUGGGAAGGUCAGCGUGGUCCUCAGGGGCUGGGGCGGGGUCUGGCACUGACCUCGCAGCAGCUGCCGCUUCCUCCGGGCUCCGUGCCCCACCGAAAGUAAACUUCGCUUGGGCCCCAGCGCUGUGCCAGCUCCAGGCGACCCCUGGGCCAGCUUGUGCCAUCCCCACCGGAUCCGCCCCAGCCAGGCCGCAGCCACAGCCUACUUGUGUCAGUGACUGACCAACAGACAGACUGACUCCAGGCAGCAGUGCUGGGCAGGCCAGCCUGCCUGACUCCUCCGACAGGAACUCUCCUCCCAGAGCUGAAGGCCCCUCCCAGGGGCUGGGAC
ensembl:lncRNA